rnacentral:misc_RNA from 1 species
CUCAAAAUAAAUUGCAAGAAAAACCAAGUAACCUAAUAAUGGGGGAAAAAAUCGUAAAAGUUGACCCAUUAGAUAACCCUAAACCAACCACAACCAAAGCAACCCGAGCCAAAGCUGCCUCACCCGACCCGAUUGCCACCAGUAGGCUUAAUUGACCAGAAUUACAUAUGCUAAGCAUGCAUUUUAAUGAAGUUAAUAAACAUGUGCAUUGUGCAAGAACAUCCAUAGUCGUUUUAAUAUGCACCUACUGACCUACUGAUUUCAUUUCCUGCUUUCUUUAGUUUCUGUUUCUAUAAGAAGCUGUCACAGAAACCUUUAGAUUAAGGUUUCUGAUCAAGAAUUUAGAAGAGAAGAAGAG